rnacentral:lncRNA from 1 species
AUAGCACUUAAACUAUUGAGAAUGGAGGAUCCCAGGACAACAUUUAAAAUGACAGCUAAUGUCUGUGGAAACCCUGGGCGUUUAGGAGUGGCCUAAAGCUAGAGUUCUCUUUGAUUACGGGCACCACUUUCAGAUAAAAACAUAGACCUGAAUGGCAUCAUCCAGUAUCCAAGGAAACCAUUUCUUACAGUACCCUGGAACAUAAUUCACCAUGGCCAGGAUGAAUCUGCUGUACACAGGAGUGAUCCUUCUAACCUGCCAUGUCCAUAGUUAUGUGAGAAUCUAGGAUGGAGCUGAAAGAACUGUAUCUUCCUGGAUCAUACCCAAAAGGUCUCUAAGUGCACUGAUGACAGGAAAAUCUUCAGUGGUUCCAGAGACAAGCUGCUGGAAAUCCUGCACAUUUAUUUUCUAGAAGGAAAUGAGCUGAUGAGGAAUAAUCCCUUCAGAGAUCCUCCCUUUAAAAAACCUUAAAGGACUCCAAAUUAAAGCAUAGCCAUUUCUGGGACCCUAAAGUGACUCAAAAAAAGGAAACAUCACUUACUUAAUGUUAGGUGAAUUUCAAAAGCCUUAAUAAGGGGAGAGCAAAGGUAGGGAGAAAGAUGGUGAAUAAAUUGUGAGAACCUACCAAGUAAAGAAAUAUCUUUUAAAUUCCACGCAUCAUGUUUUAUUUCACUUUGUAUUUCAAUUAAAAAAGGAAAAAUAUGCAUUUUAAAAAGAUAUAUUUUUUGCUAUUAAUAUUAGCACUUAAUGUCUGAGUACAGAUCCAUCAUUCAUUAGGUCUACAGUAGCCCACAGCCCUAAUUUACAAAUUCAUAAUCACAAGUCAGAUCAACUCAAUUGCUCAAGGCUGUGUAUUUGCAAGUUAGAGUAUACACUGCAAAUUUCCUGUCUUUGGGCCGGUAUACUGAGCAAUGGUACUUUUUAAAAAGAAUUUGCUCAUAUCUUAGAUUUAACAGAGUUGAAAAUGUUUAACCAAUAUCACUCAUGUAAUAUAAAGUGUAAAUUUAAGCAGUGUUCUAGAAAAUUCAAGGCAAAGUAGUUUAAACCAUUUGGCUCUUCCUAGAGGUUCUGAUUUUUUUUUUUAACCUGAAAAAGUAGGUAAUUACUCGAUAGCCUUAGCUCUAAAAUAUAUCUGACAGGUUAUUUUUAUUUGUUUGGUUUUCAGAAAUCAUAUCCAUGUUUUCUACUCUCUGUAGUCUUAGCAAAAUGAAUCAAAGCCACUCUGUAUCCAAAGGUAACACUAUGGUUGUCUUUUUUUUUUUUUUUAACAUUGCAGGCUUUACCUCAAGUGCUAUGCAGUAAAUUUACAGGGAAAGAAAUAUUUUAUUAAAUUAUAACUGAGAGGAGCGGAUUUUUUUUUAUAUAGCAAACAAAAAAUUCCUUCAUGAAAGGUUAUAAAACCGAUAUUAUUUACCAGAGAGACCUUUCCUGUCUCCCAGGUAAACACUUACAGUGUGUAGACUUGUGUAAAUACAUAUUUAGGAGUGGCUAAAUAUGGCGAGGUAUUUUUAAAGCCAUAUUUACAAAGCUGAAUACAUAUAUUGGCAUUUUGGAAUGUGUAAGCUGGGCAUGCUGCUCUGCUGUCUAUUCAGAAUUCUAGCAGGACGCUGCUAGAUACACCUCAGAUAUGGGGACCGAAUUUCAAAACAUUCAUCUUUAAUCAGAAUUACUAAAGACAGGUCCUUAAAUCAUUUCAAAAGGGUGAAAAUUUUCAAUUAAUGGAGUUCAAGACUUUCUCACCAGUUUGACUUGAGGAAAAUUGUUUCAGAAAUGCAGGCGUCAUUCAUGGAAAUAAAAUUUCUUUUCUG